GAUUAACGCUGGCGGCGUGCAUAACACAUGCAAGUCGAACGAUGAAACUUAAAUGAUUUCUUCGGAAUGAACUUAAGUGGAUUAGUGGCGGAUGGGUGAGUAACGCGUGAGUAACCUGCCUUACACAAGGGGAUAGCCGUUGGAAACGACGAAUAAUACCCUAUGAAACUAUCACUUCGCAUGAAGCGAUAGUCAAAGUGUUAGCGGUGUAAGAUGGACUUGCGUCUGAUUAGCUAGUUGGUGAGAAAAAAGCCCACCAAGGCAACGAUCAGUAGCCGGCUUGAGAGAGUGUACGGCCACAUUGGGACUGAGACACGGCCCAGACUCCUACGGGAGGCAGCAGUGGGGAAUUUUGCACAAUGGGGGAAACCCUGAUGCAGCGACGCCGCGUGAUUUAGAAGGCCUUCGGGUUGUAAAAAUCUUUUGUAUAGGAAGAAAAUGACAGUACUAUACGAAUAAGGUCCGGCUAAUUACGUG
rnacentral:rRNA from 1 species